GAUGAAGAACGUAGCGAAAUGCGAUAAGUAAUGUGAAUUGCAGAAUUCAGUGAAUCAUCGAAUCUUUGAACGCACAUUGCGCCCGCCAGUAUUCUGGCGGGCAUGCCUGUUCGAGCGUCAUUUCAACCAUCAAGCCCCAGGCUUGUGUUGGGGACCUGCGGCUGCCGCAGGCCCUGAAAACCAGUGGCGGGCUCGCUGUCACACCGGGCGUAGUAGAUUUUAUCUCGCUCAGGGCGUGCUGCGGGUUCCGGCCGUUAAAAAACCUUUUUUACCCAAGGUUGACCUCGGAUCAGGUAGGAAUACCCGCUGAACUUAAGCAUAUCAAUAAGCGGAGGA
rnacentral:misc_RNA from 1 species